GACGAACGCUGGCGGCGUGCCUAAUACAUGCAAGUCGAGCGGAGUUUAAAGAAAAGCUUGCUUUCCUUUAAACUCAGCGGCGGAUGGGUGAGUAACACGUAGGCAACCUACCUGAAAGACUGGGAUAACUAGUGGAAACACUAGCUAAUACCGGAUACGCCGUAAGAGGCGCCUGCCUCUUACGGGAAAGAUGGAGCAAUCUAUCACUUCCAGAUGGGCCUGCGGCGCAUUAGCUAGUUGGUAAGGUAAUGGCUUACCAAGGCGACGAUGCGUAGCCGACCUGAGAGGGUGAUCGGCCACACUGGGACUGAGACACGGCCCAGACUCCUACGGGAGGCAGCAGUAGGGAAUCUUCCGCAAUGGACGCAAGUCUGACGGAGCAACGCCGCGUGAGUGAUGAAGGUUUUCGGAUCGUAAAGCUCUGUUGCCAGGGAAGAACAGGUAUAGGAGUAACUGCCUAUGCCGUGACGGUACCUGAGAAGAAAGCCCCGGCUAACUACGUGCCAGCAGCCGCGGUAAUACGUAGGGGGCAAGCGUUGUCCGGAAUUAUUGGGCGUAAAGGGCACGCAGGCGGUGAUUUAAGUUUGGUGUUUAAUCCCAGGGCUCAACCCUGGUACGCACUGAAAACUGGGUCACUUGAGUGCAGAAGAGGAGAGUGGAAUUCCACGUGUAGCGGUGAAAUGCGUAGAUAUGUGGAGGAACACCAGUGGCGAAGGCGACUCUCUGGUCUGUAACUGACGCUGAGGUGCGAAAGCGUGGGUAGCAAACAGGAUUAGAUACCCUGGUAGUCCACGCCGUAAACGAUGAAUGCUAGGUGUUAGGGGCUUCGAUGCCCUUGGUGCCGAAGUUAACACAUUAAGCAUUCCGCCUGGGGAGUACGUUCGCAAGAAUGAAACUCAAAGGAAUUGACGGGGACCCGCACAAGCAGUGGAGUAUGUGGUUUAAUUCGAAGCAACGCGAAGAACCUUACCAGGUCUUGACAUCCCUUUGACCGCUUUAGAGAUAGAGCUUUCCUUCGGGACAAAGGAGACAGGUGGUGCAUGGUUGUCGUCAGCUCGUGUCGUGAGAUGUUGGGUUAAGUCCCGCAACGAGCGCAACCCUUGAACUUAGUUGCCAGCACAUUAUGGUGGGCUCUCUAAGUUGUCUGCCGGUGACAAACCGGAGGAAGGUGGGGAUGACGUCAAAUCAUCAUGCCCCUUAUGACCUGGGCUACACACGUACUACAAUGGCCGGUACAACGGGAAGCGAAACCGCGAGGUGGAGCCAAUCCUAUCAAAGCCGGUCUCAGUUCGGAUUGCAGGCUGCAACUCGCCUGCAUGAAGUCGGAAUUGCUAGUAAUCGUGGAUCAGCAUGCCGCGGUGAAUACGUUCCCGGGUCUUGUACACACCGCCCGUCACACCACGAGAGUUUGCAACACCCGAAGUCGGUGGGGUAACUGCUUGCAGAGCCAGCCGCCGAAGGUGGGGCAGAUGAUUGGGGUG
rnacentral:rRNA from 1 species